ACCUGCCCUGGCCUUCCAAAGUGCUGGGAUUACAGGUGUGAGUCACGGCGCCUGGCUGAACUUAAGAAUUUUGAAAAUUAUAACUCUGAGCUUUUUAAGGAAACAGGGUUAAAAGGUAGUUUGUUGGCAGACAGGCAUCAGCAAGGUCUGUUUCGAAAGCUCAGCAUAUGAGCACACAUGUGCACACAUGCACUCAGCCUUGGCUUUGCGCUGUAAAUUUUUAGCACAAUAUACAAGUAUGGGCUUUUGUUGUCAAGGAAAUGGCUUUGUUUCUCUGAGGAGGGAGAUAUUGAGGACACUUCUCUGUAGGCAAUCACUGAGCAAGGUCGUAUUGUUUCCCAGACCUGCUGUUCUGAACAACAUGAAGCUCUUGGGUUCUGUCAAUGCCUCUCUGGCCAGUCAUUGUUACAGUGGCAGCAGGCAAGCCAGGCUUUCCUCGGUGAGGUUCAGCUCACAGCUGACAUCUACCUUCCCUUCCUACUUGCUUAGGCAAUCGUGGCUUGUGUUUAAACUGAGCAAUGAAGAAAUAUCUCAGGCAGUUUUGAGUCAGUCUUCAGGUUUCUCAGAAACUUUAAACACAGAAAUGAAUGGGGUCACUGAGGUCAGUAACUCUAGAUGCCCCUACCUCAUGGUUGGAGCAUCAGCUUCUGGAGGUCAAGGGUAGGAUUAUCAGGGGCUGCAUGAAGAAGGUAAUAGUGGGACCACUUAGAGAGAGCCAACAGUCCAGGCCAAGACAAGCUGGGACCCAGCUCUGUUUCACAUAUGAGUUAUUCCUCUUCUAAUCAGCCCUCUAGGUGAAAUUAAUCAUUUAUUUCCACUUCCUGCUACUUGUCCAACUGGUGUGGCUGUAUCUCCUUCCUGCAAAGCAAUGUUGAAGAAGCUAUGGAAGCAAGAAGGAAGCAUGGAUUCUAGAAACUGACAACAAACCACUUAUCCCUAUUGCUCUUCUUCCUAAAGCUAAAGAACCCUGGGACCUUGAGGACACCGUUUGAAAACUAUUCAUGGAAAACCCGGCAUCCUAGAAUGAGAAAUCCACAUCUGGAUCAAACUGCGUCACAGAAGCUGCGCAGGAUGACAGAUGACACCCUGUCUGGAAAGUUUCUGCCACAGGGCAAAAGACUGCAAGCAGAAUAUCCCUUUGCCGUUUCUCAUGAAGCCCUGGAGAGGAUGGUUCAUGGAGAUGAGGAUGACGACUGGGGUGAGAAAUGCGGGUGACUCGUGAGUGGACAGAGAGUGGAAGAGAAGAUGACUGGAAGAUUUUAGCAUCUAGAAAAGAAUGGAGACGACUAGAGUUGAUCUGAAGAUUAUGGCAGAAUUCAGUACUGGGGCAAAGAAACAAGAUGGGGUUAGAAAUUAGAAACAGCAGAGCUCCGAAGGUUCGAAAGGAUUUGAGCAAGAGAACAAGAAGGAGCCUGCUAAUAGCACCCUGGGUUCACAGCAAGAGAAGCACCUGGAGAGAAUUAACUAGGGAGGAGGUGGGGGCAUGGGAAACCUUUUCCUCUCCAAGAGCCGGCCGGAGCGUCAGCUGGCCUGAACUUGAAGUUACACCAGGUAGCUUGCCUGGGCUGGGAGAAAGUGAUUCUCUUCUAUGCCUCUCUCCAACGCCCUGCUCCUGACGCUGCUCCUCUACUCAUAUUGAGGGGAAGAUACAUCCCUAAGUUCCCCGCACCCCAUUCCUUGUUCUGGCUAUCUGGUCUCCUAGGAAUUUUUCUACUAAUUUUCAAUUCCUCUUUUCACCUGGUGAAAUAUUAAAUCUUACUGUUCAAUUAAAGUUCUUCUA